GUGGUCGGGUCCUUCCGGGGUACAGCGCAGUUUUGUCCUCCGCGGAGUCCCUCGGGCUCAGAGCACAGCAGUGUGAUUGCGUCUCUCCUGCGCUCAAUCAGGGGCUUGCUUUGGAACCCCGGUACCUGCUAGUGUUCUGCAUACAGUGGGCAUCCAAAAAAUGGUCACUUGUUUACUUUUACUGAACAAAUUGUUUUUCUUAUGUCCAGUCUAGUGCUAGGCAACCAUGGAAUGAACCACGAAGAUAAGUAUCUCAUGGGCUUUUUCUUCUGGGAGCUGAGGCCGGCUGGGGUCGUUACAACUUAAAACUUAGGCGAUCCAGAAGUAAUACGAAACAUUUGUGAAAUAUUUUCUGUAUGAAACUUUCUAAGAAUUACCUCAACUUCAAUAGGUUGUGUAGGGGGAGAGCAUGCCAGAUAGAGGAAAUGGCAGAAUCCUAAAAGAUGGUGAGAAGCCUCCAGCCGUGCCUGGGGCUCAGGUUGUUUAUAACUGUGGUGGUUAAAGUAGUGAAGAGGCAGGUUGCAGUGGCCCCAAAAUGCCAGCCUAGGGAGUUCAUAUUUUCUUCAUCUUGCGGGAUGGAUUAAAAGGGCAGCAUUUGCAGUCAAGGAGAACACUGGGCCAGGGCAAGCUAGGGUUGCACAUUCAGACCCAGUUUUGUGCCUUUUGCCGUCCUCUAGCCUCCUCCUGGGCUCUCCGGCAGCAAGACCAGCUGCAAACAUGGAUCCUUACAAGUGACUCAGCUGGGAUCCCUGGCCCCUCUGAACAGAAGGCUCAAGGCCAGAGUGGAUUCGAAUGUCACCUCCCCUUGUGGGUUGUCAUCCAAGUCACCAUAGUGAAGGACCUUGUGGUUCAGUGCCAACCGGCAGUACCAGAACCGUUCUGGAACACAAGGGAAACCAAACAGUCUCACUGAGCUCUUGAUGACAAGGAAUGACUGAAGAAGAGGGAGCUGUAGAGACUUACGUAGUUCCCCAACCUGCAGGAUUUCACAGAGCAUUUUGCUCUUUUCACAGCCAUCACCACCACUGAACUGUGAUCUCUUGGUUGCUGGAUGGUGGCCGCCUCACCACGCAUCCUAGAACCUACUUCGCAUGAUGCUGCACACCGAGUAGGAUUUCCUUUUCUAAUGGCACAAUCAACUGCACUGUCUUCAAAGAGAGAUGUGGACUGCUUGAAGAUGAGACACUUGUGUCACAAGGACAUUGCACGUGGACACACAGCAGCGUGAUGGUUUCCAAGCCACAUGCAUCGUGCCAGGCAGACCCCACCGCUAAGGCUAGAAGGAACUCUAGUGAAGCACUGACUCCAAACUUUGGAAGAGCUUUGGUCCAGCAACCCCCUCCCACCCUACAGCAGACGGCUGGGGCCUGGACACUCUACAACAGGUGAGAGGUGAAGAUGAUUAACCUAUUCUAGAGAUGAAGAAACUGAGGCCAGAAGAGACUAGGUUACUUGCUGAUGGCAGUGACCUAGUAGGCACAAGAGCCUGGAUUUGAACUGAUAUUCCAAACUCACGCCCUGUGUGAUACUUCUUACAAAUCACCCACAGCGCAUCAUCAAUUCAGUGAGCAUUCAUUCAACAAGUACUAAUUGAGCCUCUACUUAAAUCAAAACAGGGGAUACAAUGAUUGGUCUGUUUCCAGGGGGCUCUAUGUUCAAAAUGGGCAACAGAUAAUAAAAAUCCAGUAUUUUAUACAAUUAUCAUAGGUACAAACAGAGACUGUUGGGCCCAUGUGGGAGAAAGCAUCUAAUUUUGCCUGGUACCAGGGUAGUAUGGGAAGACUGGGAAAAUCUUCAUUUUAACCUAAGGGGCAGAGAGAGUUACAGAGGAUGUUAGGCAGGAGCAUGACAUGAUCAGGUCUGAAUGAUGGGAGAAAUUCUGGCAGGAGUGUGGAAGAGGUGACGAAUGAAUGUAGAAGCCAACCAGCAGCUUGGAAUAUAAGCAAAGCAGAGUAGGAUUGGAAGACUUAAAAUAAGAGGAGAGAAGAAGACAUACAAGUGAAGGGAGGGAGGUGUAGGGUCUUUUACUCACACCUGGA